ensembl:lncRNA
CAUUAACUAGAGAGAUACCUUUUCUCUCACUCCACUUCCCUCAGACGUGUCCAUCUCACCAGUCUGCUGAGACCCCGUAUAGGAGGCAGGAUUGAAAAGAGCUUCCGAAUGGAGAAGAAGUCUUUGGAUCCACACGCUGAACCUAGAUGAGGAAUUCGAUGCUGCUGUUCUUAUUGAGCUAAUAGAACUGGAAUCACAUAUACUGUGGCCACAAAAUGUGAUGAACAGACUAGACUGAAUCUACAGGCUCCUCCGUGAUGCUAAGAAGGCAUUUCGUGCACUUUAGGGAAGAGUUCGCCCACGGUCCUGGAGUAUAGAAGAGAAAAUGAUUGAAAGUGGUCAAAUGGAAAUUCAGCAUAUCUUCCUAGAGGAACUGUUAGAUUUUGACCUGGAGAGGGCCGAGGAUAGGCUGUCUGUUUCCUCCAACGUGCGGCCUCCUUCUCCCCAUUCCUCUGUGAUUCACAGCAACCCUCGGCAGUGGCUCAGAGAGUGAACUGAUGGCGGACACAUAUGAAACAUUCUCUCACAUGGAUUAGUGGCAACCCAGGACAGUGUAGGGCCACAUGGUUGAGGGGUGUGUGUGUGUAUGUGUGUGCGCACAGAAGGGGGGUGUGUUGGGAUGAUUGGUAUUGCCUGCCAUCUAAUCAUAGUAUCUUUAUUUAUAGAAUAGCCACACUCCUAAAGAAUGUUUAAUGUAUAAUUAGUGAAAAAGCAUAAGAUUUAGACUGACCAGGGUUUAAAUUCUAGCUCCAUUACUUUGUUGUGCAUGUGUGUGUAUGAGAGAGAGAGAGGGAGAGAGAGGAAGAUCCAAGGAAAUUAAUUUGAUUUCUGUGAGUCUCAGUUUCCUCCUCUACACAUUUAUGGUAGUAACUAUGUCAUGGAUUUGUUUAAGAAUUUUUCUCUUUUUUGGUGAGGAAGAUUUACCCUGAGCUAACAUCUGUGCCAGUCUUCCUCUAUAUUGUAUGUGCAUUGCUGCCACAGCAUGGCUGACAAGUGGUGUAGGUCCACGCCUGGGAUCCAAACCCAUGAACCGGGGCAGCUGAAGUGGAGUGUGCUGAACUCAACCACUAGGCCACGGGGCUGGCCCUUGUUUGAGAAUUUUUAAAAGAUAAUAUUCAUAAGAUGGGUUAUUUGUGUCUACGUAGAAUGCCUUCCCUCUCCCUCUGAUAACAGUUCACUUCUACUUAGAUCAUGUCUGUGAUAUGAGGGGCUGCCAAUCAAGUAGGAACUGGUUGCUCUACAGAAACCCAGCUCCACUCUCCUCGAAGCAAGGACCUGCAGAUGACCUGAACCGGGCCAAUCAGGGCAUAGCUUUGAAUCGUUGAAGUCCAAGCUGAAGCUUUCUGGUAGUGAAGGUAUUCCAUGAUGCCCUGAAGGACCAGGCUGGAGAACCAUGCUGGGGACAGGCCACGGUAUUUUUAAGACUACAGAAAACACAUUUAAGAAAUUGAAAAAGAAAGUGGAGGAGAGAAAAGAUGGGGAAUGGAGAACCCCUGACUCAAGGAGGUAACUGACUAACCAGAAGCCUACAGAUCCUUUCGAGAGAGCCUGUGACGCAGUCCUUGAACAAAAAGGAUGAGUUAAGCCCCGGGUUGCUGUCUGCUCUGUAGCACCAUCUGCUGGUCAAUCUCCGCGCUUUGUCAGUCCGGGUGGGGAAGUGGCCUUUUCUGCUCAAGACAAAGGUCCCACCUGACUUCAGUUUUAACACACCUUAUGUGAGCCAC